GCAAGAUACAAGCACAAGAAAAGCUACUGAGUGAGUUAAGUCUUAAUGCUUUAGAUCCAGAUAGGCUAACUGAUGAGGAAUUGCAGGUGAUUUGGUGUCCAGAUGCGUUCGGCACGUGUCAGUCCAGAACCUCGUGCAGAGGACAGCAGCCAAGAAUCAACAGUGACAUCUGUG